CAGCAACUAAGACAAAGAAUAAUGAUGCAAUGUGAGAUUUUGUAAAAGCUUCAGAAAGAAGGGUUUCGAUUUUUUGGCUUUUUUCUCUCUCUUUUCGUUUGAAGUAGCCUGAAAGGUUUAGUUGGCAUGUGCCGCCUCCUUUAUCUGCUUUGGCUUGUUGCUGGUGCAGCAUUUGUUUACUACCAGAAGAAAUCCAAAAAAAUGCAUGCAUUUUUUUUUUUUUUUUGCUUGGCGCAAAAAAAAACAAGAAGGAGUAGUUACUGUGCAUACUUCUUCUUU
rnacentral:ribozyme from 1 species